UACGGGGGGGGCAAGCGUUGUUCGGAAUUACUGGGCGUAAAGGGCUCGUAGGCGGCCAAGUAAGUCCGACGUGAAAGCCCAAGGCUUAACCUUGGAACUGCGUCGGAUACUGGUUGGCUUGAAUUCGGGAGAGGGAUGCAGAAUUCCAGGUGUAGCGGUGAAAUGCGUAGAUAUCUGGAGGAAUACCGGUGGCGAAGGCGGCAUCCUGGACCGACAUUGACGCUGAUGAGCGAAAGCUAGGGGAGCAAACGGG
rnacentral:rRNA from 1 species